AUUGAACGCUGGCGGCAGGCCUAACACAUGCAAGUCGAGCGGAUGAAGGGAGCUUGCUCCUGGAUUCAGCGGCGGACGGGUGAGUAAUGCCUAGGAAUCUGCCUGGUAGUUGGGGAUAACGUCCGUAAACGGGCGCUAAUACCGCAUACGUCCUGAUGUAGAAAGUGGGGGAUCUUUGGACCUCACGCUAUCAGAUGAGCCUAGGUCGGAUUAGCUAGUUGGUGGGGUAAAGGCCUACCAAGGCGACGAUCCGUAACUGGUCUGAGAGGAUGAUCAGUCACACUGGAACUGAGACACGGUCCAGACUCCUACGGGAGGCAGCAGUGGGGAAUAUUGGACAAAGGGCGAAAGCCUGAUCCAGCCAUGCCGCGUGUGUGAAGAAGGUCUUCGGAUUGUAAAGCACUUUAAGUUGGGAGGAAGGGAAGUAAGUUAAUACCUUGCUGUUUUGACGUUACCAAAAGAAUAAGCACCGGCUAACUUCGUG
rnacentral:rRNA from 1 species